CCUACGGGUGGCAGCAGUGGGGAAUAUUGGACAAUGGGCGAAAGCCUGAUCCAGCCAUGCCGCGUGUGUGAAGAAGGCCUUCGGGUUGUAAAGCACUUUCAGUGGGGAAGAAAGCCUUGGGGCUAAUACCCUCGAGGAAGGACAUCACCCACAGAAGAAGCACCGGCUAACUCCGUGCCAGCAGCCGCGGUAAUACGGAGGGUGCGAGCGUUAAUCGGAAUUACUGGGCGUAAAGCGCGCGUAGGCGGUCUGAUAAGCCGGUUGUGAAAGCCCCGGGCUCAACCUGGGAACGGCAUCCGGAACUGUCAGGCUAGAGUGCAGGAGAGGAAGGUAGAAUUCCCGGUGUAGCGGUGAAAUGCGUAGAGAUCGGGAGGAACACCAGUGGCGAAGGCGGCCUUCUGGACUGACACUGACGCUGAGGUGCGAAAGCGUGGGUAGCAAACAGGAUUAGAUACCCCGGUAGUC
rnacentral:rRNA from 1 species